UUUCUAAUUACAUUUAAUGGCAUGCUUAAUGGAUCAUAGUAAAUCAUAUAUCAAGCCGCCACGAUAAUACACGAACAACUUGAUUUUGAAAUUCUAUUAGAUGUAAAUGAAGAUUUUGAGCAAUUCUAUUAAAUGUAACAAAUAUACAUUAAUUUUAUAAGACUAUAGUCUAUAUUAUUCCACCUUAUAUAUUAAGGCUUUUAGAACAUAGAAAGUAAAAUCGUUAUUUUCUGGAGAGGAUGAUAUACAGUAAAUAUGUGGCAAAGAUAAUUCAUCAAUUUUUGUAUAGAUACAUGCCCGUCAAGAAUCGGAACAAUUACGAAGCGAAUAUCAGCGGAUCGCCAUAUACAUUUAUACCACAUAAACUAUAUUUCAGCACUUAAUGAAAUCAAUUUAAAACGCGGUGUGGGUUUGGAAAGACUAUAUUUUAAUGCAUUUAAUACUCUGAUGCGUACACGCUUUGAUGCAUUUGAUAUUCGUAACUCCAAUUUCUAAAUUGGGUUAAAAUUUAAAAUAUUUGACACGUGGCUAAAGAUCGUGACUAUUUGCUAAGCAAGUCUGUGUGUGAUAUUGGCCCAAAACACACACAUAUCGAAUGUGUUUAAUUUUCUGAGGAUGCCUUCAUACUUGAUUAAGGUCCUAAACUUCGAUGUUCUCUCCCAGAUACUGUUAGAAAUGCUGGUAGAAUGUUGCAUUAAUUGCAUGAGCAACAAUUGCCCUUCUCAGGAUUAACGGUGUUUACGCAAAUUGGCAAAUGCGAACGUUUAUUCCCUUUUAUACCUCGGCGACCCUUAGUAUAUGUUUGUAUUUGAAGGGAUGGUUCCAGCCUGAUCUGGUAGGGGUGGGGGUUGCUCAAACCUUGGUUGUCGUUUGGAUGCCCACCUUGGCCAAGUGCUGCCUCGUCCCCAGUCGCUUUCAAAGGGGGGAGAGGAAAACGAGAAAAAAUUCUUUGUUGGGCGCGCGAAGAAUAAUGGCAUUGCCCGGCAAUGAUAUCACAGCCACUGAUCUAUAUAGAUUGCAAUUGCACUGCACUGUGCCCAACGAAGGGCCUGCGAAGGAGGCA